AGCAGUGAGGAAUAUUGGUCAAUAGCCAACCGGCUGAACCAGCAACUUGGAAGAAUGUAAAACGAAGGAAUCGUAUAAAAUUCUAGAUAGAUAACAGAUAAUGACAACUAACUAUCUAUUAGUCUUGACCAAAUUACGUGCCAGCAGUCGCGGCAACACGCAGAAGACAAGUGUUAUUCAUCUUUAUUGGGUUUAAAGGGUACCUAGACGGAAAAUAAAGCCAUAGUAGGAACUAAUUUUCUAGAGUUUUAUGGGAGAAAGUGGAAUAUUUGGAGUAGAGAUAUAAUAUUUUGAUACCGGGUAGACGGGUAAGGGCGUAGGCAGCUUUCUAUGUAAAAACUGACGUUGAAGGACGAAGCUCCGGUGUAGCAAGAAGGAUUAGAUACCCCAGUAGUCCGGAGAGACAAUGAUGAAUGCCAUAGGCUAGAUGAGUUUAGUCUAUAAAUGAAAGUGCAAGCAUUCCACCUUAAGACUAAAGCGGCAACGCCCAAAUUGAAAUCAUUAGGCCGUUUCUGAAACCAGUAGUGAAGUAUGUUAUUUAAUUCGAUGAUCCGCGAAUAACCUUACCACGUUUUGAAUACUAUUCAAUUAAUACAAGCGCUGCACGGCUGUCUUCAGUUAAUGUCGUGAGACUUUGGUUAACUCCUUUAAUUAACGAAAACCCUUGUAUUAUUUGUUUAUAAUACAGUUCUCCACUAUAUUGGAUAAGAUAAAAGGGAUCAAGACAAGUCAUCAUGGCCUUAAUAGCGUGGGCUAUAGACGUGCCACAU
rnacentral:rRNA from 1 species